rnacentral:rRNA from 1 species
UACGUAGGGGGCUAGCGUUGUCCGGAUUUAUUGGGCGUAAAGAGCGUGUAGGCGGCCAUGUAGGUCCGGUGUGAAAACUCGAGGCUCAACCUCGAGACGCCGGUGGAAACCGUAAGGCUAGAGUCCGGAAGAGGAGAGUGGAAUUCCUGGUGUAGCGGUGAAAUGCGCAGAUAUCAGGAGGAACACCCGUGGCGAAAGCGGCUCUCUGGGACGGUACUGACGCUGAGACGCGAAAGCGUGGGGAGCAAACAGG